CCUACGGGAGGCAGCAGUGGGGAAUUUUGGACAAUGGGCGCAAGCCUGAUCCAGCAAUGCCGCGUGCAGGAUGAAGGCCUUCGGGUUGUAAACUGCUUUUGUACGGAACGAAACGGUGAGCUCUAAUACAGUUUGCUAAUGACGGUACCGUAAGAAUAAGCACCGGCUAACUACGUGCCAGCAGCCGCGGUAAUACGUAGGGUGCGAGCGUUAAUCGGAAUUACUGGGCGUAAAGCGUGCGCAGGCGGUGAUGUAAGACAGAUGUGAAAUCCCCGGGCUCAACCUGGGACCUGCAUUUGUGACUGCAUCGCUAGAGUACGGUAGAGGGGGAUGGAAUUCCGCGUGUAGCAGUGAAAUGCGUAGAUAUGCGGAGGAACACCGAUGGCGAAGGCAAUCCCCUGGACCUGUACUGACGCUCAUGCACGAAAGCGUGGGGAGCAAACAGGAUUAGAUACCCUGGUAGUCCACGCCCUAAACGAUGUCAACUGGUUGUUGGGUCUUCACUGACUCAGUAACGAAGCUAACGCGUGAAGUUGACCGCCUGGGGAGUACGGCCGCAAGGUUGAAACUCAAAGGAUUGACGGCUUGNGAGNGCGAGGCGACGACGAGGGAGGAGG
rnacentral:rRNA from 1 species